rnacentral:rRNA from 1 species
UACGGAGGGUGCAAGCGUUAUCCGGAUUCACUGGGUUUAAAGGGAGCGUAGGAGGGCAGGUAAGUCAGUGGUGAAAUCUUCGAGCUUAACUCGGAAACUGCCGUUGAUACUAUCUGUCUUGAAUACCGUGGAGGUGAGCGGAAUAUGUCAUGUAGCGGUGAAAUGCUUAGAUAUGACAUAGAACACCAAUUGCGAAGGCAGCUCGCUACACGAAUAUUGACUCUGAGGCACGAAAGCGUGGGGAUCAAACAGG